rnacentral:rRNA from 1 species
GGGCCACUGCUAUCGGAGUUCGAUUAAGCCAUGCGAGACGAGAGGUGUAAGACCUCGGCAUACUGCUCAGUAACACGUGGACAACCUACCCUGAAGUGAGGGAUAACCCCGGGAAACUGGGGAUAAUACCUCAUAGACUAUGGAUGCUGGAAUGCUCUGUAGUUCAAAGGUCCGCCGCUUCAGGAUGGGUCUGCGGCCGAUUAGGUAGUUGUUGGGGUAACGGCCCAACAAGCCUGUAAUCGGUACGGGUUGUGGGAGCAAGAGCCCGGAGAUGGAUUCUGAGACACGAAUCCAGGCCCUACGGGGCGCAGCAGGCGCGAAAACUUUACAAUGCGAGCAAUCGUGAUAAGGGAACUCCGAGUGCCUGUAAAAUCGGGCUGUCCACCAGUUUAAAUAACUGAUGAAGAAAGGGCCGGGCAAGACCGGUGCCAGCCGCCGCGGUAAUACCGGCGGCUCGAGUGGUGGCCACUAUUACUGGGCUUAAAGCGUUCGUAGCUGGUUUGUUAAGUCUCUGGGGAAAUCUUCCGGCUUAACCGGAAGGCGUCUCAGGGAUACUGGCAGACUAGGGACCGGGAGAGGUGAGGGGUACUCCAGGGGUAGGAGUGAAAUCCUGUAAUCCUUGGGGGACCACCUGUGGCGAAGGCGCCUCACCAGAACGGCUCCGACAGUGAGGGACGAAAGCUGGGGGAGCAAACCGGAUUAGAUACCCGGGUAGUCCCAGCUGUAAACGAUGCGCGUUAGGUGUAUCGGUGACCACGAGUCACCGAGGUGCCGAAGAGAAAUCGUGAAACGUGCCGCCUGGGAAGUACGGUCGCAAGGCUGAAACUUAA